rnacentral:tRNA from 1 species
AUUAUUUUGGCAGAAAAGUGUGAAGGAUUUAGAAUCUUUUAAUAUAAGUUUUUAACUUAUAAAUAAUA